UACAGAGGGUGCAAGCGUUAAUCGGAAUUACUGGGCGUAAAGGGUGCGUAGGUGGUUGAAUAAGUUAGGUGUGAAAGUCCUGGGCUUAACCUGGGGAUUGCGCCUAAUACUGUUUAGCUAGAGUACUGUAGAGGAAGGUGGAAUUUCCAGUGUAGCGGUGAAAUGCGUAGAUAUUGGAAGGAACAUCAGUGGCGAAGGCGACUUUCUGGACAGAUACUGACGCUCAGGCACGAAAGCGUGGGGAGCAAAAGGG
rnacentral:rRNA from 1 species